rnacentral:misc_RNA from 1 species
CAAACUCCAAGCGUGGCUUGAUGUUGGGCGAUGUCUUUGCGAGAGCGGAGACACGCCUGGAACGCGUUGGCGCCGCCGCCGGACCACGAGCGUAGCAAGACGAGAGUCAAUCGCAUCGAUUUGGUUUCCGACGGAGGUCCGCCUUGGGAGUGGAUUUCACAUCCUUCCCGCAACUUAUCAAA